CUCAGAUGCAGUGUUGUGUCUGUCACCGUGCUGGUGGAGUUUAGAUAGGAAUGAGAAAAAGAAUUUGUUUCCUCGGUAGCAGAAAAUUGCUUAUUUUACAAGGUGCCACGGAGAGUGUUAUCUACUUGGGAUUUAUGGGGUGGAGGCUUUAAUAAUGCAUUUCGGCAGGAAAGGAAUGUUUGUUUUAUGACAUCCUUCCCAGGGCGGUGCUUGGCUCUUAGAGGCACCGUGGGUUGAAAAUUACCAACGCACCUCUCAGGCUCCACUUAACCCCAGGGCAAGGCAGGGCUGAGAGCCCGGGUUGUUGCCGAGACCUGGUGGGGCAGUGUCAGGGACAGAGCAUCGAGGCAUUAAAUGCAGCUCAUUAUUUUGGACAGCACCUCUUUGUGUGGAAGCAUCAUUAGCAACAGCACUGGGGUUGGAGCCAUAAAAAGAGGAUAGCACCAGGAUCCACUGGGGAAACGCUGGAAAGGACAGCCAGCAGCAGCUCUGAGCAGAACGGUCACAGCGCCGUGUGACAAACAGCCAACAGGAGGGCAAUAUCAAGGAGGGAAUAGAAAUAAGCCUGGAGUGGAUGGAGCGUGGUGCGCAGUUCAAUUUUGUUGGAGUAGGGAAUAGAAAUAGGCCUGGAGUGGAGCGUGGUGCAAAUAGAAAUAAGCCUGGAGUGGAUGGAGCGUGGUGCGUGGAGGAAGCAGCGCAGACCCAAAAUUAUAUUGACAAGGGAAAGGCAGGCUGAGAACAUGAGCCAGCAAAGGUCAGCCAGGCCAUGGUAUGGGGGUGGCAAUUAGGCCACUAAUUAGAUUCUCUGGGGCAGGCUGGGGAAGGAAGAAUGCCUUACAGUAGAAAAAGGAGGAAACAAAUUCCCAGCGCGCUGUCAGACGUGUCCCUUCAGACCAACCUGCCUCAUGAUUGCCACGGUGAGCCAAGUCCUGGUGGAAAUGAGGAGCAGCCUGAGCAGCUGGGGGUGGCAUACAAGGACCUUGUGACAGGGAAAGGACUUGGACUGAAAGGAACAUUUUACAAAAGAUUGUUGAUUCUGCUGGGAUGGAUCAAAGCUAGAGCUGUAACAUUGAGGGAAGAGAAUUCAAAUAGAAAGGAAAAAGUGAAGGCAUCUGGGACACAC
rnacentral:lncRNA from 12 species